rnacentral:rRNA from 1 species
UACGGGGGGGGGCAAGCGUUGUUCGGAAUUACUGGGCGUAAAGGGCUCGUAGGCGGCCAUCUAAGUCGGACGUGAAAUCCCUCGGCUUAACCGGGGAACUGCGUCCGAUACUGGAUGGCUUGAGUUUGGGAGAGGGAUGCGGAAUUCCAGGUGUAGCGGUGAAAUGCGUAGAUAUCUGGAGGAACACCGGUGGCGAAGGCGGCAUCCUGGACCAACACUGACACUGAGGAGCGAAAGCCAGGGGAGCAAACGGG